AUUUAAAAAAGCAACAAGCACUUAAGUUUCGGCCUUAAAGACGGGAACUUUCCCUUUUAAUA
rnacentral:tRNA from 1 species